rnacentral:rRNA from 1 species
UACGUAGGGUGCAAGCGUUAAUCGGAAUUACUGGGCGUAAAGCGUGCGCAGGCGGUUUUGUAAGUCUGUCGUGAAAUCCCCGGGCUCAACCUGGGAACUGCAUUUGUGACUGCAUGGCUGGAGUGCGGCAGAGGGGGAUGGAAUUCCGCGUGUAGCAGUGAAAUGCGUAGAUAUGCGGAGGAACACCGAUGGCGAAGGCGGCUUGCUGGGCGUGAUCUGACGCUGAGGCGCGAAAGCGUGGGGAGCGAACAGG